GGUCGCCUGGUGUAGUGGUUAUCACGUCUGCUUUACAUGGUUCAAUCGACCUCCUAUCGCAGCAGGUCGCCGGUUCGAUCCCGGCGGUGACCU